rnacentral:lncRNA from 10 species
GGAGACAGCAGCCAUGGUGAGGUAUUGGCCGUGGCGGGGGUCACAAGCAGCCAUCAGGUUUUUGGCAUCGAAGACCUGCUGGGUAACUUUUCUAGUAACUCAUCAAAAGCAAUAAACCUUACCUGAUGUUGUGACUUAGCGAAGCAAGGAUGAACUAGAAAUCUCCAAAGAGGUGAAAAGCAAUCCUCUCAAGAUCCACAAUCAAACCAGAGGCAGCUAGAAGAAAGAAAAGUCUCACUAGCUACAAAUGCAGUGUGACCUGUAUUUCUUUCCAGCUGUGUUUUCUAGGAUCUCAGCUUCCCAGCUGAGUGCUUAUACCUGAAGACCCAAAAGCCUGGUGUGCCCCUUGAUGGAAAGAGAGGAAAUCACAGGAUGUCCAAGGAAGAAAAGAGAAUCAACAAAUGGGUACCCCUGUGAAAGGAAAAUAUCUUGGUCCCCUUCAAACUGGGAACUCUUCAGGAUAAUCUGCCUCCCAUUCUAUUCAAAGUCAUCCCUCUACUCACAGAGAUAGAUGCAUAUUCUGAUUAGCUCCUUUGGAAAGACUUAUCAGAAACCCAAAAGAAUGCAACCAUUUGUUUCUCACCUACCUGUGACCUGGAAGCCCCCAGGGUUGGGGGGUCCUUGCUUUGAACUCUCCCUGCCUUUCUGGAGGGAACCAAUACUUCUUACAUGUAUUGAUUGAUGUCCCAUGUCUCCCUAAAAUGUUUAAAACCAAGCUUUGCCCUGACCACCUUGGGCACAUGUUGUCAAGACCUCCUGAGACUAUGUCAUGGGCUUAUCCUCAACCUUAGCAAAAUAAACUUUCUAAAUUAACUGAGACAUGUCUCAGAUUUUCAGGGUUCACAUUUUGGUAACCAUGGGGGAAUUGUGAAUGGAGAUGCCCCUGACUUUUGACAAAUCUCCUAUCGGUGCUUGGUACCAGCAUGAGCUAACAUUAUGGCUCACACCAAAAGGACAAUUUGCUGAAGUCUGAGAGCACCCCCUCCAGAGAAGUCCUGAUCUCCCAAAAUUUGGUCAAGAUCUAAAGUUUAUUUUGCUGUACAACUCCUCUUUUUCUUGGAGUUUUACUUGCUUCCAACAUAAGGAAGGCAAGUUUUUCCUGCUUCCAUAAUGAUGAAAGGCAGGUAACUCCUUUAUGGAGUUUGAGCUCACUUCCAACAGGGAAGAUGAGUUUUGUUUUGUUUUGUUUUGUUUUUUUCUGCUUCUGGGAUGGUAGAGAGCAGUCUUCAGCCUGAGAUCCAUCCCUAGGUGAGUAAGUGAAUUGGGGUUUGUCUUGGCCAAAGUUAAGAUUAACAACCAGCUGGUCUGAAUUUCUCCUUACCAUUAGAGCGCUCAGUGAUCAAUUGUUGGGUUUCUUUGUUGUUUGUUCCCCUCUGAAGUUGUUGUUUAAGGAUCCUAAUUCUAGUUCUGAGAUGCAUUCUAAAGGGUCCUCUCUGUUGCUUUUUCUCCCAAAUUUAAUCUUAAUUUGGUUUUUCUGUGUGCAUUUGCAUGAGGAACUGAAUUGUUGUUUUCAUAUAUUAAUGAAACUGAGUUUUCUCAGCUGUGAAGAGAAAGGGCAUUUUGCCCCUCCCAGCCAAAAGGCACCCCUGGGCCUCAUGGGAGUGUCUGAGGGGUUGAUCCCCCAUGACAUGCAGUGGCCCUGCAGGGCAAUCCCCCAAAAAACUUAAUUUUAAAAAUGGCUUAUCCAGGAAACACAUACAAGGGCUGAUCACCUGGCAUUUUGAGCCCUCUCUGAGGUCACAGACCUUUGGAGAGAGAAACUGAGGCACAGAAAAGGGUGGAAACGGCUCAGUGGUGACACACUGUAGAGUGCUGCCCGCAAGCAGCACAUAUGAAUCCACCACACAAAAACCUUAGACCACAGCUCAGUUCCUCCUUUUAAGAAAAAAAAGUAAGAAACAAGAGUGAGGAGAAAACAAGGAGAAUGACCCCCUUUUGAGCACUCUGUAGAUUUAAUGGCACCUCUGUUUGCCAAACUUUAUGGAAAUAAUAUGGUCUUUGUGCACAUUUACAUUAAGGAAAAAUAGCCCUAAAGUCAGCCUGCAAACUAGAGCGUUCCUAAGUCCCCCUGUUCUCUAUUUCUUCUUUUCUGCCACUCUAAAUCUGCUGUUAUUUUUCUAUUGAGAUAAAAACCACUGUUUAGAUCCAACAAGUUUUUUUUUUGCAAGCCAGUAAGUUUGUAUUUACUUCAUGGCUAAAAGUUCUGAAGUAAAAGCUAUAGGAUCUUUGUGUGUGUGUGUGUGUGUGUGUGUGUGUGUGUGUGCGCGCGCGCGUGUGUGUGUAUUUUAAAGGACUUUAUAAUUUCUAUAAUCCAACCUUUUUCUUUUUGUAUUUUAUAAUGUAAAUGUUGCUAUUUGACUUUCACCUGAGUUGCUUCCUUUAAUAUGCAAAUUUAAGGCUGUUUAGCUGAAAAUUGCCCAGGGUUGUAAAACAGGUUAUCAAGAAUCUAAAAGUCUAACAUAGGAGAAAAUGGUUUUUAUGAAUCUAUAAUAACAUUAACAUGCCUAACGUAUGUAUUUAUGUGUUGUGUACACAAUGUUUCACUACUAAAAAUAUAUAAAAGAGCUCUAAUUGGCUUACAAAAAAUAAAAGCACUUAGAUACUAAAAAAGAAAAUGCUUUUUCAAGUUCAUGUAACUUAAUUAAAAUCUUUAAUAAAUAAGCUAGCUGUAAAAUUAUUGGUAAAGUAAUAUUAGAAGUGUCCUAAGAAUUGCCAGCAUACAUUUUUGUUUGCAUUUAUUAAUCAAGCAAUUUCAUACUUAUCCCAGCGAAAUACUAUAAGGUAUCAAAAUGUGGCAUAGGGGUUACAAAACUAUAAACCUGGCCCAAAAGAGAAUGAUCUUUGCUUGUGUAAUUUCUUUUUUUUUUUUUCGAGAUAGAGUCUCACUCUGUUGCCCAGGCUGGAGUGCAGUGGUGCGAUCUUGGCUCACUGCAACCUCUGCCUCCUGGGUUCAAGCAAUUCUCCUGCCUCAGCCUCCCAAGUAGAUGGGACUACAAGUGCCCGCCACCACACCCGGCUAAUUUUUUGUAUUUUUAGUAGAGAUGGGGUUUCACCGUGUUAGCCAGGAUGAUCUUGAUUGCUUGUGUAAUUUUUAAUAAAUAAGACAUCAAUAUGGGUUUAAUGAAAAUAGCUGCAUCUUAAAUUUAGUAAGAUUACCGUAACUUCUAAUCUUGUGGCUUUAGGCAGUCUAGUCCACAGGCAAUAAGGAGGUGUGUUUUGGGAAAGGACUGCUACCAUCUUUGUUUGAAAGCUAUAUACUAAGUUCCUCCCAAAGUUAGUUCAGCUGAUGCCCAGGAAUGAACAAGGACAGCUUGAAGGUUAAGAGCAAGAUGGAGUCAGUUAGGUCAAAUCUUUUUUCACUGUCUCAGUUAUAAUUUUGCAAUGGUGGUUUCAUAACUUUGAAUCACGACUAUCACAGUUUUCAUAAAUAAUCUACAUAAACAAUUAAAAUUAAAUAAUUAUGUAAAUGUAAUGGGAUAAAUACUUAUAGCCAAACCAGUCAUAAUUUGGAAUAUAAAGCUAUAUUGAAUUAAUUAAUAGAUAUUUCAUUAUUUGGGUAUUUCCCAAUAAAUAUAUACUGUAGGAAAACAUUCUUCAAAAAAAAAAAGUGCAUCCUUUUAAAAAAAUGUGAACAAAUUUUGUCUAAUUCAAAGCUCAUUUAAAGGUUAUGUGUAAAACAAAAGGAACCAGAAAAAAAAGAAAUGUAAAGAAAGUUAUAAAAAUAAAGAAGUAUUUUGUGGUAAGAAAGCUUUAAGAGAAGUAAUUUUAUAUGAAAAACAAUCUUGUAUGGUAAAUUUAGUCCUAAAAUAAAAUGACCACUUGUUUAAGAAGGAGGAAUGUUCAGGACAAACCAAAAAGUCCAAGCAUGUCAUCAACAGUUGGUGCAAGUCACAGUAAGAGGAUUUAUAUUAAAAAAAAAAAUUUUGGGGGCUGGGCGUGGUGGCUCACGCCUGUAAUCCCAGCACUUUGGGAGGCCGAGGCAGGUGGAUCGCGAGGUCAGGAGAUCGAGACCAUCCUGGCUAACACGGUGAAACCCCGUCUCUACUAAAAAUACAAAAACAAAAUUAGCCAGGUGUGGUGGUAGGCGCCUGUAGUCCCAGCUAUUCGGGAGGCUGAGGCAGGAGAAGGGUGUGAACCUAGGAGGCAGAGCUUGCGGUGAGCCAAGAUCAAGCCACUGCACUCCAGCGUGGGCAACAGAGUGAUACUCUGUCUCGAAAAACCAAAAAGAAAGAAAGAAAAAAAAAAGCUUUGGUAUGAUCAAAUUGUCAUAUUUAAGUUUUGGUUUGCUUAGAAAAAGAGAGAAAAAAAUUUUUUAAUAAAGGUUAUUACAUCCAUGUAUUGUAUGUGCUUUUAAAGUCCUUGUGACAUUAAGUUGCAGGGCUUUGAUUCCUAGGUCUAAAAGGGACAUCAAGUCCUGCUAAAUCUUAAACAUUGACACCAAUCAAAGCCUCAUCUUCAGGCGCUAUAGAAGAUGCCAAUCAAAAUAAACUGCAUUCUUGAGACACAGGGCAAGAAAUUAAAGCUGUUCAACUCCUCAAGGCCCAGGGACUAUUGCAGAAGAGGCGGGCAUGUAAGAUUGUAAGGGUCAGUUUUAAAAGAUAAAAUAAGUUCAGUUUCUCUAUAAAUUAAUUAUUAAUUUCAAAGGCACACUGAUACAAGACCAGCAUAUGGGCCCCUGUGUGGGAUUAACAAGGUUUUUCUGAAGCACUAACCAACUCCUAAAUAAAGCUUAUAAAAGUCUUAUGGGGCCAGGCAUGGUGGCUCAUGCCUGUAAUCCCGGCACUUUGGGAGGCCAAGGCGGGUGGAUCACGAGGUCAGGAGUUUGAGACCAGCCUGACCAACAUGGUGAAAAUCCGUCUCUACUAGAAAUAAAAAAAUUAGCCAGGCGUAGUGGCAUGCUUCUAUAAUCCCAGCUACUCAGGAGGCUGAGGCAGGAGAAUCGCAUGAACGUGAGAGGCGGAAGUUGCAGUGAGCCAAGAUCGCGCCACUGCACUCCAGCCUGGGCGACAGAGUGAGGCUCUGUCUCAAAAAAAAAAAAAAUUCUUAUGGAAGCUGUAUCUUAUGAUCAAGAUUAAAUUUCUUUCUUUUUUUUUUUUGAGAUGGAGUCCCGCUCUGUCACCCAGGCUGGAGUGCAGUGGUGUGAUCUCGGCUCACUGCAAGCUCUGCCUCCCGAGUUCACGCCAUUCUCCUGUCUCAGCCUCCCGAGUAGCUGGGACUACAAGAACCCAUGACCACACCUGGUUAAUUUUUUGUAUUCUUAGUAGAGACGAGGUUUCACUGUGUUAGCCAGGAUGGUCUUGAUCUCCCAACCUCGUGAUGCGCCUGCCUUGGCCUCCCAAAGUGCUGGGAUUACAGGCGUAAGCCGUCGUGCCCGGCCAAGAUUAAAAUUUUAUAGAUUGUUCACAAAAUUUUGAAAAACAAAUUUAACUGGAUUGUUAUUAUUAUUAGGGCUUGUUUGGACAAUUAAGUCUCCUCUCUCAAAGAAUAAAGGUUUUCACCUUUUUAAAAAAAAUCCUUGAGUUAUCACUUUGGUUAAAUAAAUGACUUAUUUUACAAAGAACUGUUGUCUUGUUUUGUGAUAUCAAGUGUUUAAAACCUUUGAUAUUUGACAAAAUUUCCAACAUCAGCUUAUAAAUUAUGUCUUUUUCUGACCUAAUUAAUCAUUUAAGAUAUUAGGUUCCCUAAAUUCCAAAAAAUAACAUAGUUUGGCUUAUUUGGUACAAAAAUUAUACAGGAAGCAUUGUCAAAUAUGAAAUGGUGUUGGGUUUUCUUUGGGCUUUAUUUGUAUAAAUAUGUUAUUGGUAUCUGUUCCAAAAUUAUGGGAAACUCAUAAUUCUGAUAUCUUAGUGUACAUUAUCAGUAAUUGUAAUAAUUGUUAUGUUAACAUUGUUGUGUGCCACAGAGGUAACAAAUUUCCUUAUCAAUUGUGUCUUUGACUAUGGCUGCCCUAAAACUUUUGUCAUCCAUGAACAAUUGUCUUGUUUUGGUCCUCUUUAGAAGAUGGUUUUGUAAUCAACGAUAAAAUUUUAACAGGUACUCUUGAAUGCAAGUUUCUGAUAACCUUGGAGAAUGUGACGUCAGAAUAGAGGAAAAACUUUCAGGACUCAUGGAAUGCUAAAACGUUCAUGAGUAUCAAGCAGAACAGGAAUUAACUGCAUGGACUGAACUAAUCUUGACUUUUUGCUUAAAAUAUUUGCUGACCCUUUGUUUUGUUUUUCAGUGUCUUAAAACUUGUCUUUUGAGCUAUUGACAUCUUUUAACAAUUCAGUAUACUCCUAUGAACACAAUUUGAAGCAUAUUUCUUUCUGUCUACCUGAUUUCUCCAGAAUUUGGAAAUGAUUUGUGAGUAUUUUUAACUUAUGGCAAUACAGUUAUUUGCAUAAGUGCAGUAAGAAUCUGUUUUCAUUUGUAACAGGACACAAUUGGAGAAACUGGUUAUUUUACCAAGGCCUUCACUGAAAUGAUGUGCUUUCCUUUAAGGAAUCAAACUUGACUUAUGGAGACAAUAAAGAUGCAUAUUCUGUUGGGCUCCUUUGGAUAGACAUAUCAGAAACUCAAAAGAAUGCCACCAUUUGUCUCUCACCUACCUGUGACCUGGAAGCCUCUGGGGUGGGGGGCUUGCUUUGAGUUGUCCCCCACUUUCUGGACACAAAUAAUGUACUUCUUACAUAUAUUGAUUAACACCUCAUGUCUCCUUAAAAUGUAUAAAGAAGCAAGAUGUGGCUGGGCACGGUGGCUUACACCUGUAAUCCCAACACUUUGGGAGGUUGAGGCGGUCAGAGCACUUGAGGUCAGGAGUUUAAGACCAGCCUGUUUUAGUAGAAACAGGGUUUCACCUAAAAAUACAAAAAUUAGCUGGGCGUGGUGGCACAAGUCUGUAAUCUCAGCUACUUGGGAGGCUGAGGCAGGAGAAUUGCUUGAACCCGGGAGGAGGUUGCAGUUAGCCCAGACCACACCACUGUACUCCGGCCUGGGUGACAGAGCAAGACUCCAUCUCAAAGAAAAAAAAAGCCACAAUCUGUGUCCCCACCACCUUGGGCACAUGUUGUCAGGACUUCCUCAGACUGUGUCACGGGCACAUCUUCAACCUUGGCAAAAUAAACUUUCUACAUUAACUGAGACCCGUCGCAGAUUUCCUGUGUUCAGCCCCCAAGGGGUAAAGAGUCAUA